ACUCCUACGGGAGGCAGCAGUGGGGAAUAUUGCACAAUGGGGGAAACCCUGAUGCAGCCAUGCCGCGUGUGUGAAGAAGGCCUUCGGUUGUAAAGCACUUUCAGUAGGGAGGAAGGUAGUGUAGUUAACACCUGCAUUAUUUGACGUUACCUACAGAAGAAGCACCGGCUAACUCCGUGCCAGCAGCCGCGGUAAUACGGAGGGUGCGAGCGUUAAUCGGAAUUACUGGGCGUAAAGCGCAUGCAGGCGGCCUGUUAAGUCAGAUGUGAAAGCCCGGGGCUUAACCUCGGAAUUGCAUUUGAAACUGGCAGGCUAGAGUCUUGUAGAGGGGGGUAGAAUUUCAGGUGUAGCGGUGAAAUGCGUAGAGAUCUGAAGGAAU
rnacentral:rRNA from 1 species